GCCGCUGUAGCUCAGUCUGGUAGAGCACCUGAACCCGUCUUCGAACAAAUCGCCCGAUCCGGGCCGGAUGAGGACGGUUAUCGUUUCCCACGAGGUGGUCGCGGGUUCGACUCCCGCCGGUGGCU
rnacentral:tRNA from 1 species